rnacentral:snRNA from 1 species
GUGCUUGCUUUGGCAGCAUACAUACUAAAAUUGGAAUGAUACAGAGAAGAUUAGCAUGGCCCCCAUGCAAGGAUGACAUGCAAAUCUGUGAAGUGUUUUAUAUUUUU